rnacentral:tRNA from 1 species
GACCGCGUAGCUCAGUUGGAAGAGCAUUGGGCUAGUAUUCCAAAGGUUGUAGGUUCGAAUCCCGCCGUGGUCA